CCUACGGGCGGCAGCAGUGAGGAAUAUUGGUCAAUGGGCGCAAGCCUGAACCAGCCAAGUCGCGUGCAGGAUGACGGCCCUACGGGUUGUAAACUUCUUUUGUCCGGGAGUAACGCGCCCUACGUGUAGCGUUUCGCAUGUACCGUAAGAAAAAGCAUCGGCUAACUCCGUGCCAGCAGCCGCGGUAAUACGGAGGGUCCGGGCGUUAUCCGGAUUUAUUGGGUUUAAAGGGGGCGUAGGCGGAAUAUCAAGCCUGCGGUAAAAGGUCGGGGCUCAACCCGGCCGAGCAGUUGGAACUGGGGUUCUUGAGUCCGCGGGAAGCAGGCGGAAUGCGUGGUGUAGCGGUGAAAUGCAUAGAUAUGACGCAGAACGCCGAUUGCGAAGGCAGCUUGCUGGAGCUCAACUGACGCUGAUGCACGAAAGCGUGGGUAUCGAACAGGAUUAGAUACCCUUGUAGUC
rnacentral:rRNA from 1 species